rnacentral:rRNA from 1 species
AUGAACGCUGACAGAAUGCUUAACACAUGCCAGUCUUUGGCGAAGCUGUGCUUGCACAGCCUAGCCAAGGCGGACGGGUGAGUAACGCGUAAGGAACUUGCCCUGCAGUCAGGGAUAACAGACGGAAACGACUGAUAAGACCUGGUAAAGUCAGGCGGACUCAUGUCCAGCCUGAUGAAAAGAGAUGCUGCAGGAGAGCCUUGCGUCCUAUUUGCUUGUUGGUGGGGUAACGGCCCACCAAGGCGAUGAUAGGUAGCCGGCCUGAGAGGGUGGACGGCCACAAGUGAACUGAGAUACGGCCCUUACGCCUACGGGAGGCAGCUGUGGGGAAUAUUGGACAAUGGGGGCAACCCUGAUCCAGCAAUUCUGUGUGCACGAUUAAGGUUUUCGGAUUGUAAAGUUCUUUCAUCAGGGAAGAAAAAAAUGACGGUACCUGCAGAAGAAGCGACGGCUAAAUACGUG